rnacentral:rRNA from 1 species
UACGUAGGAGGCAAGCGUUGUCCGGAAUCACUGGGCGUAAAGCGCGUGUAGGUGGUGCGACAAGUCUGCUGUGAAAGCGCCUGGCUUAACCGGGCGAGGUCGGCGGAAACUGACGUACUGGAGGCCGGUAGAGGGGGUGGAAUUCCCGGUGUAGUGGUGAAAUGCGUAGAGAUCGGGAGGAACACCAGUGGCGAAGGCGGCCCCCUGGGCCGGGCCUGACACUGAGACGCGAAGGCGUGGGGAGCGAACGGG